GUGAUUUUAGUUUAAAUUAAAAUAAUGGUUUGUCUCACCAUUGAUGGUCUGUGACCAGAUUGCU
rnacentral:tRNA from 1 species